rnacentral:rRNA from 1 species
AUUGAACGCUGGCGGCAUGCUUUACACAUGCAAGUCGAACGCAUCGCAAGAUGAGUGGCAGACGGGUGAGUAACGCGUGGGAACAUACCCUUUUCUACGGAAUAGCUCUGGGAAACUGGAAUUAAUACCGUAUACGCCCUACGGGGGAAAGAUUUAUCGGGGAAGGAUUGGCCCGCGUUGGAUUAGCUAGUUGGUGGGGUAAAGGCCUACCAAGGCGACGAUCCAUAGCUGGUCUGAGAGGAUGAUCAGCCAAAUUGGGAAUGAGACACGGCCCAAACUCCUACGGGAGGCAGCAGUGGGGAAUAUUGGACAAUGGGCGCAAGCCUGUUCCAGCCAGGCCGCGUGGGUGAUGAAGGCCUUAGGGUUGUAAAGCUCUUUCACCGAUGAAGAUAAUGACGGUAGUCGGAGAAGAAGCCCCGGCUAACUUCGUGCCAGCCGCCGCCGUAAAAC